rnacentral:rRNA from 1 species
CCUACGGGGGGCUGCAGUGGGGAAUAUUGGGCAAUGGAGGCAACUCUGACCCAGCAAUGCCGCGUGAGUGAUGAAGGUAAUCUGAUUGUAAAGCUCUUUUCUUCGGAACGAAGAAAUGACGGUACCAAAGGAAUAAGCCCCGGCUAACUACGGGCCAGCAGUCGAGGUAAUACGUAGGGGGCAAGCGUUGUUCGGAAUGACUGGGCGUAAAGGGUGUGGAGGUGGUUUGGUAAGUUAGAUGUGUAAUGCCCAGGGCGUAACUCGGGUGCUGCAUCUAAAACUGUUAGACUUGAGUCCGGGAGAGGAUAGUGGAAUUCCUGGUGUAGCGGUGAAAUGCGUAGAUAUUAGGAGGAACAUCAGUGGCGAAGGCGACUAUCUGGACAGCAACUGACACUGAGGCACGAAAGCGUGGGGAGCAAACAGGAUUAGAUACCCCUGUAGUC